rnacentral:misc_RNA from 1 species
UUAAAAGAAAGGUUUAAUUUUGUUAGUUGAGGAUAUAUAUUAUAAAGAAGUUUGUGAGAAUGUUUUUGUUUAGAUUUUGUAUGACGAUAUUUUUUUUUUUAACGAUAUCGUUAAAGUAAUUUAAAUAUUAAUUUGUAGAAUUUAUAAAAAUAGAGUUUUAAAGUUGUUUUGUAAAAAGAAAGGUUUUAUUUUGUUAGUUGAGUAUAUAUAUUAUAAAUUUGUUUUUGAGAAUUUUUUUGUUUUGUUUUUAUGGGAAGAUAUUUUUUU